rnacentral:rRNA from 1 species
AUUGAACGCUGGCGGCAGGCCUAACACAUGCAAGUCGAGCGGAUGAAGGGAGCUUGCUCCUGGAUUCAGCGGCGGACUGGCGCGUAAUGCCUCGGCAUCUGCCUGGUAGUGGGUCACAACGUGCGCAAACGGGCGCUAAUACGCCAUACGUCCUCAGGGAGCAAGUGGGGGAUCUUCGGACCUCACGCUAUCACAUGCGCCCAGGUCGGACUCUGUACUUGGUGGGCGACAGGCCUAGCAAGGCGAACAGCAGGAACUGGUCUGAGAGGAUGAUCGCUCACACUGGAGCUGAGACACGGUCCAGAGGCCUACGGUGUCACGCAGUGGGUGAGAUUGGACAAUGGGCGAAAGCCUGAUCCAGCCAUGCCGCGUGUGUGAAGAAGUGCUUCGUGUUGUAAAGCACUUUAAGUUGGGAGGAAGGGCGGUAAGUUAAUACCUUGCUGUUUUGACGUUACCAACAGAAGAAGCACCGGCUAACUUCGUG